AGCGAACGCUGGCGGCAGGCCUAACACAUGCAAGUCGAACGAAGCCUUCGGGCUUAGUGGCGGACGGGUGAGUAACACGUGGGAACGUACCUUUUGGUUCGGAACAACUCAGGGAAACUUGAGCUAAUACCGGAUGAGCCCUUAGGGGGAAAGAUUUAUCGCCGAAAGAGCGGCCCGCGUUAGAUUAGCUAGUUGGUGAGGUAAAGGCUCACCAAGGCUACGAUCUAUAGCUGGUCUGAGAGGAUGAUCCGCCAUACUGGGACUGAUACACGGCCCAUGCUCCUACGGGAGGCAGCAGUGGGGAAUCUUGCGCAAUGGGCGAAAGCCUGACGCAGCCAUGCCGCGUGAAUGAUGAAGGUCUUAGGAUUGUAAAAUUCUUUUACCAGGGACGAUAAUGACGGUACCUGGAGAAAAAGCCCCGGCUAACUUCGUGCCAGCCGCCGCGGUAAAAC
rnacentral:rRNA from 1 species